CACGUAGGGCGCAAGCGUUGUCCGGAAUUAUUGGGCGUAAAGAGCUCGUAGGCGGUCUGUUGCGUCCGCUGUGAAAACUCGGGGCUUAACCCCGAGCCUGCAGUGGAUACGGGCAGACUAGAGGUAGGUAGGGGAGAAUGGAAUUCCCGGUGUAGCGGUGAAAUGCGCAGAUAUCGGGAGGAACGCCAGUGGUGAAGACGACUACCUGGACCAAUACUGACACUGAGGCGCGAAAGCGUGGGGAGCAAACAGG
rnacentral:rRNA from 1 species